rnacentral:lncRNA from 1 species
CAAAACAAGGGUGGCAUUUAAUUUGCUAUCCGGAUUCGUUAUUAGAAAAAUCAUUAAAAGCCAAGUAUUAUCCCAAUUCAUGUUUCAUGCAAGCUAGAUUGGGGACCGUACCAUCUUAUACAUGGAGAAGUGUAUGGUUGACAAGAGGACUCCUUGAAAAAGGAAUAUGCUGGCAAAUUGGGUUAGGAAAGCAAGUCCAAAUUUGGGAUAAGGCGUGGAUCCCGGGCACUGAUGAAUACAAAUUAUAGCAUCCAAAUAUUAAUCAGCGUUUUUUACAUGUAUCAGACCUAAUAGAACAAAACACAAACCAAUGGAAGGAAGAGCUAAUAUGAGGUACCUUUCACACUGAAGAUGCCGAAAGGAUCCUAUGCAUUCCCCUUUCUUUGGAGCAAGAAAUGGACAGAAUGGUUUGGCGCGGUGAAACAUCAGGGGUGUAUACAAUGUGGAGUGGUUACAAAAAUUUAAUGCAAAUCGACAGCAAAAUAAACAUACAAGCAGACCAUAAUUAUUACAAACCAAUGUACAAAAAGCUAUGGACGAUAGACUUGCCCUCAAAAACAAAAAUUCUGGUAUGGAAAACCCUAAAUAAUUUUUGACCUACUUUUUCUAACCUAUCUCAGCGAAGACUAGGGAAUGUUGCAAAUUGCUCGAGAUGCGUCAACAGUCUCGAAACCACAGUUCAUGUGUUCAAGGGCUGCCCUUUUGCUGAUGUAGUGUGGUCCAGGCUGGGUAUCAAGUGGACCUUGGAAUAAGGCCAAUUAUAAUAUAAGGACUGGAUGAAGGUGCUGUUUGAAAAAGUAUCAAGCCAAUAGAUAAAAACAAUCGUGGGUACCAUUUGGGGUUUAUGGAUGGCUAGGAAUAAAUUGCUACAUGAGAAUAAGGUACAAAUAGAAGCAAGCUUGAUCCAGUUUAUCACAGAUUAUAUUCAGGAAAUAGAAGGGGUAAAAGAGAAACUACCUGUUAGCUCAGUAUUCAACGAAUAUUGGAAGCCCUCGAGAAUCACAAAUGUUAAAAUAAAUUUCGAUACUGCAUUUGAUAAGCAAAAUAAGAGAUCAUGCACUGGAGUCGUCAUUCGAGACACUACUAGUAAUGUUUUAAAAUCAAUAACCUACAAAAACGAGCACAUACCGAUAGCAUUUGCAGUUGAGGCACUCACAUGCGUCCAGGCGGUUAGAUUCAAGGCAAAAUUAGGAUUUCUUCCAGUUGAAGUUGAAAGCGACGCGUUAACUAUUUUUAAAAAAAAAGUACAAAGUCAGGAAAAUGACAGAUUCGAGAUAAGAGACUAUAUCUCAGAUGCAUAAAGAUUAAGAAGCAACUUUGUUACUUGUAGGUUUAAACUUGCAAGGAGACAAACAAACACAGUAGCUCAUAUCCUAGCAACAGAAGGGUUAAAGGAAAGGGGAAAUACUCAUCUGACUCCUGGCCUUUCCAGUGCAGUUGCUAGGACCGUCGCGGCUGACAAAAAUGGCGAAGUAGUAGGAAGCGGAGGGCUCAUGACAUAAAACCAUGAAACACGGAAGUAUUUUUGAAGGAAAGGCGACAUAGAUUUGAAAAGAGAAUGUUAGAUUCUUUGUUUUCUCAGAUUAAUAAUUAAGGAGAUAAAGGAAUGGUACCUCAUAGUCACUGGUGCUUAGAGAUCUAGCAACCUAAAAAGCGAGUUAAUUCGCCAUUGAAGAGGUACCUUUCAUCUGAUGCAUGUAGGAGGUGGUGGCCAUCCUUCGGAGCAUUGAAAAGACGAAAUGAGUGAAGAUGGUGAGAGAUGUGCAGAAAUGGGAACUGGCUGUGGGGUAGAGGUUUUAAGGUUUCUUCUUUUUUAGUUUGUUUUUAGGAUGUGGGCUAAUGUAGGCUUAGGUUUAGGAUGGGUUAGGAUUUUGGGCUUUAUUUUUUUUUGUAGGGUAUUCCCUUUUAAAUUUGAUGUUCUUCUUUUGGUUAAUUUACCUAAAUAAUUAAAAUAAAUAAAUACUGAAAUAGGUUGUCG